AGAGGUUAGAGGUACUCCAGGGUAGAGGUGAAAUUCUGUAAUCCUGGGAGGACCGCCUGUUGCGAAGGCGUCUAACUGGAACGGUUCUGACGGUGAGGGACGAAAGGUUAGGGGCGCGAACCGGAUUAGAUACCCGGGUAGUCCUAACUGUAAACGAUGCGGACUUGGUGUUGGGUGGCUUUGAGCUGCUUCAGUGCCGAAGGGAAGCUGUUAAGUCCGCCGCCUGGGAAGUACGGUCGCAAGACUGAAACUUAAGGAAUUGGCGGGGGAGCACCGACAACGCGUGGAGCCUGCCGGUUUAAUUGGAUUCAACGCCGGACAUCUCACCAGGAGGCGACAGCUGUAUGAUAGCCAGGUUGAUGACUUUGCUUGACUAGCUGAGAAGUGGUGCAUGG
rnacentral:rRNA from 1 species